UAGUAAACUAUGACGAAGAGAGUAAAUGUAAAAAUUUUUCUAGGGAGAAAAGGUCAAGGACUGAAAGCUUUUUUAUUAAUUUUUAUAUUGAAGUUCGCUUCUGAGUUCUAAUUGUGAAAUUUAGUAGCAAUUAGCGGACAUGAACCGAUAUUCAUAGAGCUGGAUACUUUUGUAUCAACAAGGGUGGCAUCGCGGAGUAAAGUUCGUCCCUAUU
rfam:Clostridium tetani E88, complete genome.